CCUGGUUGAUCCUGCUAGUAGCAUAUGCUUGUCUCAAAGCUUAAGCCGUGCAUGUCUAAGUACAUACGGGCAGUACAGUGAAACUGUGAAUUAAAUCAAGUUAUGGCUCCUUUUGCUUCUCUUCUGCUCCUUGGAUAACUGUGGUAAUUCUAGAGCUAACACAUGCCAACGAGCACCAACCUCCGGGGACGCGUGCAUUUAUCCAACCAAAACCUACCUGGGCCUGCCUGGCAGCUUUGGUGACUCUAGAUAACCUCGAGCCGAUCUCACGCCCCCGUGGCAGCGACUACCCGUUCGAACAUCUGCCCUAUCAACUUUCAAUGGUACUGUCUGUGCCUACCAUGGUGACCACGGGUGAUGGGGAAUCAGCGUUUGAUUCCAGAGAGGAAGCCUGAGAAACGACUACCACGUCCAAGGAAGGCAGCAGGCACGCAAAUUACCACAUUACCCACUCCCGACCCGGGGAGGUAGUGACGAAAAAUAACAAUACAGGACUUUUUCAAGGACCUGUAAUUGGAAUGAGUGCACUUUAAAUCCUUGAGUGAGGAUCCAUUGGAGGGCAAGUCUGGUGCCAGCAGCUGUGGUAAUUCCAGCUCCAAUAGCGUAUCUUAAAGUUGCUGCAGUUUAAAAGCUCAUAGUUAGAUCUUGGGAUCAAGCUGGCCGUCCGCUGUGAGGCGAGCCACCGUCUGUCCCAGCAACCUGCCUCUCGGUGCCCUCUCGAUGCUCUUAGCUGAGUGUCCCGUGGGGCCCGAAGCAUUUUGCUUUGAGAAAAUUAGAGUGUUCAAAGCAGGCCGGCUGCCGGCAUACUGCAGCUAGGAAUAAUGGAAUAGGACUCAGGUUCUAUUUUGUUGGUUUUCGGAAAUGGGGCCAUGAUUAAGAGGAAUGGCCGAGGCAUUCGUAUUGUGCUGUUAGAGGUGAAAUUCUUGGACCGGUGCAAGACGGCCUAGAGCAAAAGCAUUUGCCAAGAAUGUUUUCAUUAAUCAAGAACGAAAGUUGGAGGUUUGAAGACGAUCAGAUACCAUCAUAGUUCCAACCAUAAACGAUGCCGACUGGUGAUCUGGUGGUGUUACUCCCAUGACCUGCCGGGCAGCUCCCAGGAAACCCAAGUCUUUGGGUUCCGGGGGGAGUAUGGUUGCAAAGCUGAAACUUAAAGGAAUUGACGGAAGGGCACCACCAGGAGUGGAGCCUUCCACUUAAUUUGACUCAACAUGGGAAACCUCACCCUGCCCAGACACAGACAGGAUUGACAGGUUGAGAGCUCUUUCUCGAUUCCGUGGGUGGUGGUGCAUGGCCGUUCUUAGUUGGUGGAGCGAUUUGUCUGGUUAAUUCCGAUAACAAAUGAGACUCUGGCAUGCUAACUAGUUACGCGACCCCUGAGCGGUCGGCGUCCAACUUCUUAGAGGGACAAGUGGUGUUCAGCCACCCGAGACUGAGCAAUAACAGUCUGUGAUGCCCUUAGAUGUCUGGGGCCGCAUGGGUGCUCCACUGACUGGCUCAGCUUGUGCCUACCCUCCGCCGGCAGGCGCGGGUAACCCGUUGAACCCCAUUCGUGAUGGGGAUCGGGGAUUGCAAUUCUUCCCUGUGAACGAGGAAUUCGCAGUAAGUGUGGGUCAUAAACUCGCAUUGAUUAAGUCCCUGCCCUUUGUACACACCACCCAUCGCUACUACUGAUUGGAUGGUUUAGUGAGGUCCUCAGUGGAGCCAGCCAUGGCCCUGCCGGAGUGUCGAGAAGACGGACAAACUUGACUAUCUAGAGGAAGUAAAAGUUGUAACAAGGUUUUCGUAGGUGAACCUAUGGAAG
rnacentral:rRNA from 1 species